rnacentral:rRNA from 1 species
UACGUAGGGUGCGAGCGUUAAUCGGAAUUACUGGGCGUAAAGCGUGCGCAGGCGGUUGUGCAAGACAGAUGUGAAAUCCCCGGGCUUAACCUGGGAAUGGCAUUUGUGACUGCACGGCUAGAGUGUGUCAGAGGGAGGUAGAAUUCCGCGUGUAGCAGUGAAAUGCGUAGAUAUGCGGAGGAAUACCGAUGGCGAAGGCAGCCUCCUGGGAUAACACUGACGCUCAUGCACGAAAGCGUGGGGAGCAAACAGG